rnacentral:rRNA from 1 species
UACGAAGGGGGCUAGCGUUGUUCGGAAUUACUGGGCGUAAAGCGUGCGCAGGCGGCUUCUCAAGUCAGGGGUGAAAGCCCAGAGCUCAACUCUGGAAUUGCCUUUGAGACUGAGAGGCUUGAGUACGGGAGAGGUGAGUGGAAUUCCCAGUGAUAGAGGUGAAAUUCGUAGAGAUCCGGAAGAACACCAGUGGCGAAGGCGGCCG